CGGCGGAGCGGGCCCAGAUAUUAGGUGAUCUCAGAAUGUCUAUGUCUGGAUAUUUUUGUGAAGUCCACCACAAAGGGAGAGAAAACAUCCACCUUUUCCAAUGGAACAGGAACCAGCAGAAGAUGCAGAGGCAGAUCCCACUGGUGCAGAAGACAAUUUGGACGAACAAGAUAAUACUCAAGUAUCUUUAGAACCACAAAAAAGGCCUGAGGAGGUAAAAAAGAAAUUAGAUGAUACUUUCUUCUACACAUAUGAAGAUGUAUAUUCAGGACCAUAUGCCACUGAUGACACUGAGAUACCCACUGACCUUCUUAUUUUUAAACAUUCUUUUGGAUAUGACUGUACCAGACCUGUAAACCUGAUGGUAAUGGAUAGACAUACUGUAGGGUAUGUAGCAGGCAACCAGGUGAUCCUCCAGAACCUGAAAACUAAGUAUCAGAAACACAUCCGGAGCAGCUGUGGCGGUGGCAUUGGGUUUAUCACAGCACACCCUAGUAAGGAGUACUUUGCAGUAGGAGAAAAAGGAAAGAAGCCAAACAUUGUCAUCUACACAUAUCCUUCAGUGAGGCCCUACAGAAUACUGAAAGGUGGAACAGAGAUGGCCUAUGUUUAUGGUGAUUUCAACCGUACUGGCACUUUUCUGGCCAGUGUUGGGAGCAGCCCUGACUACAUGUUGACCAUCUGGGACUGGAAACAAGAGGAGACUCUGUUGAGGUCAAAAGCUUUUGCACAGGAUGUUUACAAGGUCAUGUUUUCUGCUGAGAAUGAAGAACAUCUAACUACAGGUGGAUCAGGACACAUCAGGUUCUGGAAGAUGGCUCUCACAUUAACUGGUCUCAAGUUACAAGGAGCUUUGGGCCGGUUUGGAAAAACAGCAGUGUCUGACAUUAUAGGUUUUGUGGAGCUGCCCGAUGGGAAGGUUGUCUCAGGAACUGAGUGGGGCAAUUUGCUGCUUUGGGAAGGUGGACUCAUUAAAGUAGAGCUCUGUCAAGUUGGACACAAGCCUUGUCAUGAGGGCCCUGUCAGCCAGUUAGUUUUUGAUGAAGGAGAACUUUACUCUGUUGGAAAAGAUGGUGUCAUUCGGAUGUGGAACUUUGAGGUAGUAGAUACUGCUGAUCCUGUGGAUGACACAGGGUUAGUGGAGAUGGAGCCUAUGAAUGAACUUUGGCUUGGCAAGAAUGUCAGCCUGAAUUUCAUUACAAAAAUUCAUGACCAUGGACAGUCCUUCUGGUUUGCUCAGGAUACAAGUGGAGCAAUAUGGAAGCUGGAUUUGACUUUUUCAAAUAUGAGCCACGACCCAGAGCGCAUGUGUACCUUUCAUUCUGGGGGGAUUGAGGCCAUUGGUGUCUCUCCCUUUACAUGCCUGAUGGCCACCACAGCUCUUGACCGGUCAGUGCGCAUCUAUGAUUUCAGCAGCAACAGCCAACUGAGUGUAAUCAAGUUUAAACAGGGAGGAACAGCACUGGCAUGGGCACCUGCUGUUGUAAAUCCUGAAGGAGGUCUAAUUGCCGUGGGAUUUGAAGAUGGUGUUGUCCGCAUAAUUGAGGUUUAUGAUCCCAAACUGCUGCCCGGUCAUGCAGGACAUGCCAAUGAGAUUGCAGAGAUAAAUCUGAAACAAGUUUUCAAACCUCAUGGUGCUGCAGUCACGGCCCUGGCAUAUAAACAAAAGGGAAAUGUGUUUGCCACAGGGAGUAAAGACAAAACAGUUUUCUUUUUUGUUAUUGAGGAUGAAUACAAGCCUAUUGGAUUCAUCUGUGUCCCUGGGCCUGUACAGGCAUUACAGUGGUCUCCACCUUCUUAUGACAAGAGCACGGUGCUCAUCCUUUGUGAGAAUGGCUUUGCUGUCCAGGUUCUUGCCCCUCUCCGUAGGAAGCAGGAUAAAGUGACCACCUAUCACAUAAAAAACCUGCCAACACAGUACUUCCAUUUUUAUAGUAUUAAAUCCCAAAUCAAGCUGAAAGAGGAGAUUGCACGGAGAGAGAAAGAAAAGGAAGAGAAGGAGAAGGCAAGGCUUGAAUGGAUAAACCAGCAAAAGGAGCUGGGACUUGAGGUAGAAGAAACUAAAGAGGAAGAACCUGAAGAAGAGCCAUUGCCAUCUAUUUACAUACCAGAAGAGCCCAGUCCCAUCCUCUGUGGCUUUUAUUCAGCACCAGGAAAAUUUUGGCUUUCUUUGGGUGGGUAUGACUCAGGGUUUCUCUAUCAUUGCGAAUUCUCACAUGGUGAAAAAGAAGACCCUGAGAAGAGGAAAGAUGAACCCUUUGAAGUGAUUCCUAUGCAGGACACUGACAACAAUCCCAUUCACCAAAUCUCCUUCUGUACCCGCAUGUCCCUGAUGUUCUGUGGGAUGCAGGAUGGCUCACUUCGUGCUUAUCCUCUCAGUGAGAAAGGCCUCUCAGUGGGUGCCCUGAAGGACUACUGGUACCUGAAUGUGCAUGACAAUGAUAAUGGGCAGAUCCGGGGGAUGUGUUGCAGUCAUGAUGAUAGGUGUCUGAUUACCUGUGGUGGAGAUGGAAACAUUUUUACAUUUGACCUCAUGUCAGAGGAAGAGCUUCCCAAAGAGCUAAAAGUCAGAAUCCCUCCUCCUAGGAGAGGUCUUGAGAAGGAAAAGGCUACUGAAGACAUUACGGAUCCUGAUGCCUACACUAUUGAGGAAUACAAGCAGAAAAAGGAGCAUGAACAGAAAAUGAAGGAAGCUGAAGAAAAGAAAAAUAGGAAAAGAGAGAAGUUAAGUGCACUGAGACAAGACUUUGUUUUUCUCCUUCAAAAGAAUCAGGAGUUGCCCAAGCACAUGCAGUUGCACAGAGAGGAGUUUGAGAUGGACCGUAGGAUCUUUGAAGAGCUGGAUAGGCAGACACUACAAAGAAUCCAUUUAGUGCAAAAGCAGCUGGCUUGGGAGCACGAGAAACAAUUCAUUGGACUGCAGAAACUACAAGCACAGUUUCGGGACUCUCUGGAAUUGACUCUCACUGUGCAUGCUAUUCAAAGCAAUCAUCAGAUUUCGACCUACAGCCUUCUAACAGUGUCUGAGAAAUAUGCCCCAGAUAAGAAACAUGUGGACAGCAAGUGGGCAGUACUUAAAGAGAAGUGGACAGCACUUAAAGAGGCAGAACAAACAGAAGAGGAGAUCCUCAGAGAGAUAAGCCCUGUGCAUAGAGGAAGUGUAGCUUUUGAGAAGGAGGCUGAAAGGCUGAAGACACCAGAGAUCCGGAAGCCAACCACGCGCUAUAUAGAAAGCAGACGUCAGAAAAUCAAAAGACUUGUUGAGAAAUAUGAUGCACUGAAAGCCAAGAUCAUGAAGAGAAGGGCAGAGUGGCAUGAAUUAUACAAGAGCAAACCCAGACAUAACCAUGAGAAUUCCAAAGAUGCUGAGGAGAUCAAAGAAGCACGGGAGAAUAUAGGAUGUUACAGGCUGAAGAGUGCCACUAACUACACACUCACUGAAAAUGAGCGUAUAAGCACUGAAAAGAAGAUGAUACAGCUUGCAAUCCUGGAAGACUUGAUCCAUAAGGCGAAAGUGAAUAUGAACAAAGAGAUUGUGUCUUUGAGGGAUCUCAAGGUUUCUACUAUUGAUGAAAUCAAGAGUUUAGUGAAGGAAGUCAAAUCCAUACAGGCAAACUUAGAUGCAUCAGAACAUCUCCCUAUUCCCCCGAUCCCUCAGUUACACCCAGAUGAGGUUCCUGAAAAAAUAGUUGAGUACAACAGUGAUGUCCUCCUAAAGUUCAAAGAGGAGCAGGAGGCCAAGGCAAAGCUCAAGGAACCACUGGAAGGGUGUCCCUCAUCUCGCGCAUUUAGGCACGUGUUUCUUCAAACUCCUUCAGUGGAAGAGGGUGACCCCAUGGCACAGGCUGGAGAUGCAUCAGCUGUGGUCACAGAGGAGCAGGAGUCUUUUGAGAUGGGGAAAGCAGAGCCAACAGAAAUGGAACUGGAAAUUUUAAAGAGGGAGAAGAUAAAAAAUCUAUACUUGCAGGAGACCUUGAUUAAAAAGAUCAACACACUGGUGAUCAACUUUGAUGCUGAACUUUGCCUUUUGCGGCACAAGAAACUGAAGAUGGAUGUGCAGAUGAAAAGUGCUGAUCUGCGCUGCAUCACAUGCUGUGAAGAGCUGCUUAUCCUGAAGAAACUUGAGAUACAUGAGGACCUUCUUGAGGAGAAAAUUUGUGCCUUCAUCAAUAAACAGGAGAACGUACAUUCAAAAUUGAAGAGCUGCCUUGCACAAAUGGAGGAUAGAAAGUGUGAGAUUGUAAUGCUUGAGGAACGUGAGAAAGCUCUUUAUGCCAGCUUCAAAGCAUCCCUUGGAGAAAACAAUGAAUUUGCUGAUGUUCUGACUGAUAUUUUAAAGAAGGAAAUUGAAUGUGUGGAAAAAAAAGAAGUAGGAGGAGAAGCAGGUGAACAAAAUGAAAAUAAAGAAGAGGAUGAUGAAAAGCCUGACUUAAAGGCUGAUGAAGAAAAUUGUGGAUCUGUAAACAUAGUCUUUGAUGACUCAGUUUGCCCAGAAGGCUGCAGUGAGGAUCUCUUCCUGAACACCAUCCAGCUCCGACAGCAACGGAUAGGCAUUGAGAAAGCUUUAGAAGAGGAGAAGAAAGUUGCUGCUAACCUUAAAAAGGAAUAUAAUGCCUUGGCCAUAAAGGCAAAAGAAAUAGAAACCAGUCUGGACACAACAAACAGGGAACUGGAGGCCUUUCAGUGGGAAAAGCUGCACAAACUGAAUGAACUGGAUGUAGUUGUGCCUUUGAGACUCCAUCAGGUGCAGUGCUUGGUUGAUGGGGAGAUGCCCCGUGACUUCUCCCAGACUUUAGUAUUUACCAACCAGUCCUUGCAGUACCUGCAGAAGAGAAUUGUGGACCUACGUAAUGAAAAGAUAAUGCAAAGAGAGAUCCAUAAGAAGGCCAAGGAGCAACAUAAGCAGCUUCUCCAGGAGAAAAAGGAAAUGGAGAUGGAGAUUCAAGGACUGGAGGAGAGGUGCAAUAAUCUGAUGAUGGAGAAGUUUGGUCGCCUGGUUGAUUUUGAAGCAGUUCAAGUACACUCUGUUAAUAUACCCAUGGAGCAGAUGAAAGUGAGAAUAAUGGAGAAAGAGUAUGAGCAUUUCAUGGAGCUCAAAGAAUGGGAGACCAUAGUGUUCAACUCCAAUUUCCCAUCAUCACUGCUACCUCUGCUCCAGUUGCUGGUGCACAUCCUAUUUUUCACAGAGGUGGCAUUCAGUACCUCCUGCCUUUUCUCAGUGCCUUUGGUGACAAACUUUGAAUACAGGGCAGGCUCUGGCUCAUGGCUGGGGUGCCAAUCUGUGCAGUCUGAAAAGUUCAUGUCUCUGUUUGGUGGGGCCUAAGGCUCAGCUGCUGUGGUGCAAGCAGGCAACACGCUUAUGCUGCCCUUACAGAAGAGCAUAGGAAAGAAUUGUACUCCUGCAGCAUCAGCUAACAAAACUGACAAGGGAAAACACCAGCAAGCUGCACCAACUCAACAAGUUUUGCCAUGAAAAGCAUCAGCUUGAAACUGAACUGGAAU